rnacentral:lncRNA from 1 species
GAGUCCCAAGGCCAUGAACUUUCAGGAAAAUGUGACCCUGGCCAUGGCCUUGUUCACCAUCCUGACCUCCAUCUAUUUCUUCAACAAGGCUCAGCAGUGAGAAGACACAGGACCUCCCCGCACAAGAGCCCUGCCUCUCCCUCUGCCAUCGCUCUGAGGCCAGAUAAAUGAGAGGCAGAGAAUAUCAUUGCAGGAUCCUGCUUUUUAAAAAAUGCUCCAUGCCAAGGGCAGCGGCUCACACAUGUAAUCUCAACACUUCGGGAGGCUGAAGCAGAAAGAUUGCUUGAGGCCAGGAAUUCAAGACCAGCCUGGGCAACAUAGCAAGAUUCUGUCUCUACAAAAAAAAAUUUAAUGAGGGCAUGAUGGCACAUGCCUGUCGUCCCAGCUACUUGGGAGGCUGAGGCAGGAGGAUUGCUCGAGGCUGCAGGGAGCUAUGACCAUGCCACUCUACUCCCGCCUGGUCAACAAAGCAAGAACCUGACUCAAAAAAAAAAA